rnacentral:rRNA from 1 species
AACGCGAAGAACCUUACCUGGGCUUGAACCGCACAGGACCAUCUUUGGAAACAGAGACUUCCCGCAAGGGACCUGUGUAGAGGUGCUGCAUGGCUGUCGUCAGCUCGUGCCGUGAGGUGUUGGGUUAAGUCCCGCAACGAGCGCAACCCUUGCCGUGUGUUGGUCGCAAGAUCUCUCACGCGGGACCGCCGGUGACAAGCCGGAGGAAGGUGGGGAUGACGUCAAGUCAGCAUGGCCCUUACGUCCCGGGCUACACACGUGCUACAAUGGGAGGGACAACGAGUCGCGAACCCGCGAGGGCAAGCUAAUCUCAUAAACCCUCUCUCAGUUCGGAUUGAAGGCUGCAACUCGCCUUCAUGAAGUCGGAAUCGCUAGUAACCGUAGAUCAGCUACGCUGCGGUGAAUACGUUCCCGGGCCUUGUACACACCGACGCGUA